rnacentral:rRNA from 1 species
UAGGGAAUAUUGCACAAUGGGGGAAACCCUGAUGCAGCGACGCCGCGUGAAGGAAGAAGUAUCUCGGUAUGUAAACUUUCUAUCAGCAGGGGAAGACAAUGACGGUACCUGACUAAGAAGCCCCGGCUAACUACGUGCCAGCAGCCGCGGGUAAUACGUAGGGGCAAGCGUUAUCCGGAUUUACUGGGUGUAAAGGGAGCGUAGACGGAUCUGCAAGUCUGGAGUGAAAGCCCGGGGCUCAACCCCGGGACGUGCUUUGGAAACUGUGGAUCUAGAGUGCCGGAGAGGUAAGCGGAAUUCCUAGGUGUAGCGGUGAAAUGCGUAGAUAUUAGGAGGAACACCAGUGGCGAA